rnacentral:piRNA from 1 species
UUGACUCACACAAUCACAAGAUGAAGUC